rnacentral:rRNA from 1 species
AACGCUAGCUACAGGCUUAACACAUGCAAGUCGAGGCCCAGCAUUUUAGUUUGCUUGCAAACUAAAGAUGGCGACCGGCGCACGGGUGAGUAACACGUAUCCAACCUGCCGAUAACUCGGGGAUAGCCUUUCGAAAGAAAGAUUAAUAUCCGAUAGUAUAUUAAAACCGCAUGGUUUUACUAUUAAAGAAUUUCGGUUAUCGAUGGGGAUGCGUUCCAUUAGUUUGUUGGCGGGGUAACGGCCCACCAAGACUACGAUGGAUAGGGGUUCUGAGAGGAAGGUCCCCCACAUUGGAACUGAGACACGGUCCAAACUCCUACGGGAGGCAGCAGUGAGGAAUAUUGGUCAAUGGACGAGAGUCUGAACCAGCCAAGUAGCGUGAAGGAUGACUGCCCUAUGGGUUGUAAACUUCUUUUAUAUGGGAAUAAAGUAUUCCACGUGUGGAAUUUUGUAUGUACCAUAUGAAUAAGGAUCGGCUAACUCCGUGCCAGCAGCCGCGGUAAUACGGAGGAUCCGAGCGUUAUCCGGAUUUAUUGGGUUUAAAGGGAGCGUAGGUGGAUUGUUAAGUCAGUUGUGAAAGUUUGCGGCUCAACCGUAAAAUUGCAGUUGAAACUGGCAGUCUUGAGUACAGUAGAGGUGGGCGGAAUUCGUGGUGUAGCGGUGAAAUGCUUAGAUAUCACGAAGAACUCCGAUUGCGAAGGCAGCUCACUAGACUGCAACUGACACUGAUGCUCGAAAGUGUGGGUAUCAAACAGGAUUAGAUACCCUGGUAGUCCACACAGUAAACGAUGAAUACUCGCUGUUUGCGAUAUACAGUAAGCGGCCAAGCGAAAGCAUUAAGUAUUCCACCUGGGAGUACGCCGGCAACGGUGAAACUCAAAGGAAUUGACGGGGGCCCGCACAAGCGGAGGAACAUGUGGUUUAAUUCGAUGAUACGCGAGGAACCUUACCCGGGCUUAAAUUGCAUUUGAAUAAUCUGGAAACAGGUUAGCCGCAAGGCAAAUGUGAAGGUGCUGCAUGGUUGUCGUCAGCUCGUGCCGUGAGGUGUCGGCUUAAGUGCCAUAACGAGCGCAACCCUUAUCUUUAGUUACUAACAGGUCAUGCUGAGGACUCUAGAGAGACUGCCGUCGUAAGAUGUGAGGAAGGUGGGGAUGACGUCAAAUCAGCACGGCCCUUACGUCCGGGGCUACACACGUGUUACAAUGGGGGGUACAGAAGGCAGCUACCUGGUGACAGGAUGCUAAUCCCAAAAACCUCUCUCAGUUCGGAUCGAAGUCUGCAACCCGACUUCGUGAAGCUGGAUUCGCUAGUAAUCGCGCAUCAGCCAUGGCGCGGUGAAUACGUUCCCGGGCCUUGUACACACCGCCCGUCAAGCCAUGAAAGCCGGGGGUACAUGAAGUACGUAACCGCGAGGAGCGCCCUAGGGUA